rnacentral:rRNA from 1 species
AGUAAAUAGAUACCCUGGUAGUCCACGCCGUAAACGAUGUCGACUUGGAGGUUGUGCCCUUGAGGCGUGGCUUCCGGGGCUAAACGCGUUAAAGUCGACCGCCUGGGGAGUACGGCCGCAAGGUUAAAACUCAAAUGAAUUGACGGGGGCCCGCACAAGCGGUGGAGCAUGUGGUUUAAUUCGAUGCAACGCGAAGAACCUUACCUACUCUUGACAUCCAGAGAACUUAGCAGAGAUGCUUUGGUGCCUUCGGGAACUCUGAGACAGGUGCUGCAUGGCUGUCGUCAGCUCGUGUUGUGAAAUGUUGGGUUAAGUCCCGCAACGAGCGCAACCCUUAUCCUUUGUUGCCAGCGGUUAGGCCGGGAACUCAAAGGAGACUGCCAGUGAUAAACUGGAGGAAGGUGGGGAUGACGUCAAGUCAUCAUGGCCCUUACGAGUAGGGCUACACACGUGCUACAAUGGCGCAUACAAAGAGAAGCGACCUCGCGAGAGCAAGCGGACCUCAU